UCCACCCCCAUAGACUUGCUCACAUAGUCAUCUACCUGUAUAUUUGGGAGUAUAUACCCAUAUAUUGAAGUAUGUAUAAGUAGACAUAACCUUGUGAGUGUUGUUGGAGUUUGUAACACAACCAGGUUUCAAGUGCCAAAAGCCAUUCGGGUGUGUAUGAAAAAGUUUGUAACGUAAAUGACGGUGGAAUACAGGAACCUCGAAUGAGCAUAAGUUGGUUUAACUAAGCAUUAGCAUUAGCGCACAGUUUUAUUCAGCCUCCAGAGGUGGAUCCUUUUGGUGCAAACACAUCAGCACCACCAAAGACACGUGUGUAGCCUCACUCUUGCAUGUCAAAUUACUAUCAUAUCUGUAAUUUUUUCCCCACAUAGUUCCAAUUCAAUUUAAAUCUUACCAAAGUGCAAUAUUUAUUGUAAUUUUAACUCCAACUACUCUAUGUUGUCUUCUUGCUUCAGUCCCUCUCCUUUAUAACAGUCCCUAGGUGCUCUUCCAUAUUCACCAACUUGACUCUGAUCAAUAUUAGCUCUUCUUCAUAAGUCCUGUUUUUGCAUCAAGGUUCUCUGAUUUGAUUCGUAUACUAAGAAUCUCAAGAAUUUCCACAUGUCAUCACGGCCACCGCCACCUCCACCAGGACCCCAAAAACCACUUGACGACUUCAAUCUGCCCUCUAAACGCCAAAGGUUCGAUCACAAGCAGAGCACUAAUGACCUUAACCAAGGGGACAACUUGCCACAAUCAUCAUUGUCAUCAAAGAAGCAACCUUUCUGUGGCAACACUACUGCUUCAGGACAAUCAACUCUAAAGAAAUCUUAUAUCCUUGAUUGGUUGCAUGGAAGAUUGCCAGAACCCCCUACAGGAAAAACUUCAAGUGAAUCAUCUCCUAAGCCUGAUCUGAACACCACCGACUCUAGCUCAAAUGUGUAACUUGGACAUUAAUCUUUUUCUUCAGCAACUUUGUCUUCAGUGGUUAUUUAUCUGCUAUAAAGUUUUUGUGAAAUAAUGUAGUGUGGUCUUCACACCACAUGAACUAGUUUUUAUGGGGAACAAGGACCUAUACUUUUAAGAAUAAAACUUUUUUGUCGAUGUCCAAUAGUUUAAGAAUAUUAACAAGCCUCAACUUUUGGAAUUUCC